rnacentral:rRNA from 1 species
UAGGGAAUCUUCCACAAUGGACGCAAGUCUGAUGGAGCAACGCCGCGUGAGUGAAGAAGGUUUUCGGAUCGUAAAGCUCUGUUGUUGGUGAAGAAGGAUAGAGGUAGUAACUGGCCUUUAUUUGACGGUAAUCAACCAGAAAGUCACGGCUAACUACGUGCCAGCAGCCGCGGUAAUACGUAGGUGACAAGCGUUGUCCGGAUUUAUUGGGCGUAAAGCGAGCGCAGGCGGAAGAAUAAGUCUGAUGUGAAAGCCCUCGGCUUAACCGAGGAACUGCAUCGGAAACUGUUUUUCUUGAGUGCAGAAGAGGAGAGUGGAAUUCCAUGUGUAGCGGUGGAAUGCGUAGAUAUAUGGAAGAACACCAGUGGCGAAGGCGACUCUCUGGUCUGCAACUGACGCUGAGGCUCGAAAGCAUGGGUAGCGAACAGG